UUUCCGGUUGAUCCUGCCGGAGGACAUUGCUAUUGGGAUUCGAUUUAGCCAUGCUAGUCGGACGAGUUUAGACUCGUGGCAGAUAGCUCAGUAACACGUGGCCAAGCUACCCUUCAGUCGGCAAUACCCUCGGGAAACUGAGGUUAACGGCCGAUGUGGGACGCCUGCUGGAAUGCGGCGUUCUCUAAAGGCGACGCUGAAGGAUGCGGCUGCGGCCGAUUAGGUUGACGGUGGGGUAACGGCCCACCGUGCCAGUAAUCGGUACGGGUGAUGAGAGUCAGAGCCCGGAGACGGAAUCUGAGACAAGAUUCCGGGCCCUACGGGGCGCAGCAGGCGCGAAACCUUUACACUGCACGGAAGUGCGAUAGGGGAAUCCCAAGUGCGAGGGCAUAUUCGCCCUCGCUUUUGUUGACCGUAAGGUGGUCAACGAAUAAGAGCUGGGCAAGACCGGUGCCAGCCGCCGCGGUAAUACCGGCAGCUCGAGUGAUGUCCAAUAUUAUUGGGCCUAAAGCGUCCGUAGCUGGCCGCGCAAGUCCGUCGGGAAAUCCACCUGCCCAACAGGUGGGCGUCCGGCGGAAACUGUGUGGCUUGGAACCGGAAGGCUCAGAGGGUACGUCCGGGGUAGGAGUGAAAUCCCGUAAUCCCGGACGGACCACCGAUGGCGAAAGCACUCUGAGAAGACGGCUUCGACAGUGAGGGACGAAAGCUAGGGUCUCAAACCGGAUUAGAUACCCGGGUAGUCCUAGCUGUAAACGAUGCUCGUUAGGUGUGGCACCCACUACGAGUGGGUGCUGUGCCGCAGGGAAGCCGCUAAACGAGCCGCCUGGGAAGUACGUCCGCAAGGAUGAAACUUAAAGGAAUUGGCGGGGGAGCACUACAACCGGAGGAGCCUGCGGUUUAAUUGGAUUCAACGCCGGA
rnacentral:rRNA from 1 species